AUGCCGCGUGUGUGACGAAGGCCUUAGGGUCGUAAAGCACUUUCGCCUGUGAUGAUAAUGACUGUAGCAGGUAAAGAAACCCCGGCUAACUCCGUGCCAGCAGCCGCGGUAAUACGGAGGGGGUUAGCGUUGUUCGGAAUUACUGGGCGUAAAGCGCACGUAGGCGGAUUGGAAAGUUGGGGGUGAAAUCCCGGGGCUCAACCCCGGAACUGCCUCCAAAACUUCCGGUCUGGAGUUCGAGAGAGGUGAGUGGAAUUCCGAGUGUAGAGGUGAAAUUCGUAGAUAUUCGGAGGAACACCAGUGGCGAAGGCGGCUCACUGGCUCGAUACUGACGCUGAGGUGCGAAAGUGUGGGGAGCAAACAGGAUUAGAUACCCUGGUAGUCCACACCGUAAACGAUGAAUGCCAGUCGUCGGCAAGCUUGCUUGUCGGUGACACACCUAACGGAUUAAGCAUUCCGCCUGGGGAGUACGGUCGCAAGAUUAAAACUCAAAG
rnacentral:rRNA from 1 species